CCUUUUUUUUUUUUUAAUUAUUGUUAAAUUUUCUCAAGUGAAUGUAUUAGUUAUCUUCUUAGUUCUUACUGCAAUACAUAACCGUACCAUGUGAGAUAAAGGGGAUGAAAGUAGAACCAAGAUGAAUCUCAGAUACAUUAACUCCACAAAAAAACUACAUUGACAAGGGUUAGCCUUGGAGCACCUUGUGGAAGAAGCAAUUGGUCCGCCAAGGAAGACCCUUAUAAGUUGUAUAACUAUGGCUCUGUGCCCAAAUUAUCUGCCGAGUCAUUGAAGGAUUCAGUAAUUUUGCCUAGUCUGGCCUUGACAAACAAGAUAGACAUCAAUUACUGUUUCAUUUAUGGACCUAAGAGUGGGGAUAUUUCUUUCCAAGGAUUAUACUAAUAGUGUCUUUCUUAAACAACUGUGCUGCUUAUUUAGAGCACAAUCGCAGUGACAAGCAUGAAGAGUUCCAUUCUUAUUGGAUGGCUCUUUGCUCGUCCAAGGUCCCAUAGCGCAUUUGGCUGAGAAGCAUAAACAUGUCAGUUUAAAUGGAUCUUGUUAAAUACACCCUGCAGUGCUUCUUCCAAGUCGCCUUGUCAAUGUGGCAUCUUUUAUUGGCAUGCUUUGUAGUGAAUUAACCAAGAAUUUUGUGAUAGAGUUGUGUAGACAGGGAAUGCACUUGUAAACAUCUUGUGCUUUUCAAAUGGGAAACAUCAUUAACGAGAUUUUGUUUGGGAAAUUCUUUUCAAACAUGCAUAUGCACAUGAAUGUUUUGACAUUUAGGAUCACAUCCACAUAUUUGUUUAACGGUGUUGUCUUGUUUGGAAACAAAGAUUAACUCAAGUUGAUUUCUGAGAAGAAAUAAAAUGCUGAUAUUACAUGCAACACUUCUGGAAUAGGUAAAUGCAGCUAUUCAGCAAGAAUUGCCCAUGGUGAUGGCAAAGAUGAAACUUUAUCUGCAGAACACAUCAACAAGAACAAUACUUUUUAAACCGAUAAA
rnacentral:misc_RNA from 1 species